UCCUGCUGUGACCUCAGAUUGUGACACUCUGGUUGGCUUUGGUAAUCGGGCCAAAAGUACAUGGGGAGAAAUAUGGGAGAGCAGAGCUGCUGGGUACGCUUUCUUCAUUAUGUCAAGGAAAUGUGGUACAGGUUCAAAAAUGCACAAACUGCAGCAGUACCUGCUAAUGAAAAAAAGAGUCAUUGCCAUCAACCGUUACAUCACCAGCCUCUACUGCAACUCCUUACUCCCAAGAUUCACCAGCAUCAGCAGCUGUAGGAGCACCAUCUGUGUCUACUGGCAGAGGACAUGUUCAUGACAACAUGUCCAUCAAAACCUCCGUCUCCAUGAGGGUAAGUGUUCAUUUGAGUUCCCUUUUUGCAUGUCCUCUGAAUUUCUGUGCAUGUGCAUGUAUGAUAUAUUUAGUCUACAAGGUCAUUCAAUUGUGUAUUUGUGAAAUAAGUGUACUAUAAGUAAGUAAUCACUGUAGUCUACA